rnacentral:rRNA from 1 species
AUUGAACGCUAGCGGCAUGCCUAACACAUGCAAGUCGAACGAGUGGCGGACGGGUGAGUAAUGUCUGGGAACCUGCCCGGUGGAGGGGGAUAACUACUGGAAACGGUGGCUAAUACCGCAUACCAUCGGAUGUGCCCAUAUGGGAUUAGCUAGUAGGUGGGGUAACGGCUCACCUAGGCGACGAUCCCUAGCUGGUCUGAGAGGAUGACCAGCCACACUGGAACUGAGACACGGUCCAGACUCCUACGGGAGGCAGCAGUGGGGAAUAUUGGACAAUGGGGGAAAGCCUGAUGCAGCCAUGCCGCGUGUAUGAAGAAGGCCUUCGGGUUGUAAAGUACUUUCAGCGGGGAGGCGGUAUCCGCAGAAGAAGCACCGGCUAACUCCGUGCCAGCAGCCGCGGUAAUUC